GGAGGAGGAAGAGAGAGAAAGACAGAACUAAAAACCCUUGAAGGAUGGCUCUCCAAAAUUCCUGGCGGAACCACGGGGAAUCCCUGGUAGCGCGGGAGCGGAGCUACUUUCUGGAUUUAUCCUGAAUGAGAAGAGGAAUUACUGAAUUAACACCCAGGCAGGGAGUGUCCUGUGUUCAGUGCUACAGUCCAGAAGUCCUUCAGAAAUGGCUCUGAUCUGGAGAGUUUGUACUGACUUUUUCUGGUCUGAAUAGAAACCAUCUCCCCUGCUCCACUCAUCAGCACCAGAUCCUGUGACAUCUCCACGUUUCCACAGUGA